UGUGUUUGGGAUCAUCUCUACAAACAAAGACCUCAUCUUUAAGCUCCUGCAGAAACACCACUGGUUUUCAACCUGCUCAGGUGUCAUGUAUUGGAAAGAACAGUGAUUUAAAGAAAAGAGAAAUAAAAUAAAAA